rnacentral:rRNA from 1 species
CAUGUGGCUUAAUUUGACUCAACGCGGGAAAUCUUACCGGGUCCGGACACACUGAGGAUUGACAGGCAAUAUAUGUGACUCUUCGGAGUUUGCAUUGUUAAAUAUGCUAGUCCUUUCAUGAUUAUGUGAUAGGUGGUGCAUGGCCGUUCUUAGUUCGUGGAGUGAUCUGUCUGCUUAAUUGCGUUUCAAAUUACUUAUAAGGUAGCAAUACGCGAUGAAACUUUCAAUAGUCUCUCACGAGAUUCACUUGAGUCGACUCGCUUCGCUAUCCUUUCGAAUGCAACGAACGUGACCGCAACCUCUUGUUGCCUUCGUUUAACAUCCUGCAGCUCGCUGUGGGUACUGAGGGCUUCACUCGGUGAC